rnacentral:rRNA from 1 species
AACAAACGCUGGCGGCGUGCCUAAUACAUGCAAGUCGAACGGGGAAAGUAGCAAUAUGAGUACUAGUGGCGCACGGGUGAGUAAUACGUGGAUAAUCUGCCUUCAAGUGGGGGAUAACUAGUCGAAAGAUUAGCUAAUACCGCAUAAGACCACAGGAUCUGAGGAUCUAGGGGUUAAAGGUUUUUCGCUUGAAGAUGAGUCCGCGCGAGAUUAGCUAGUUGGUGAGGUAAUGGCUCACCAAGGCAACGAUCUCUAACUGGUCUGAGAGGAUGAUCAGUCACACUGGAACUGAGACACGGUCCAGACUCCUACGGGAGGCAGCAGUAGGGAAUAUUGCACAAUGGAGGAAACUCUGAUGCAGCGACGCCGCGUGAGUGAUGAAGGCCUUCGGGUCGUAAAGCUCUGUCGCAGGGGAAUAACACAAUGAAUGUACCCUGUAAGAAAGGAUCGGCUAACUUCGUGCCAGCCGCCGCCGUAAUAC